UAAACGGCAAACUCUCUGCAUGACUGGAGAGGGUAAAGGGCCAGAGGACAGGAGCAGUUUUACAAGCACCACAUCUGCCACACACAGGUAGCAGAUACCACUGGAAGGUCCAAGAUCCAGGGGCCCACAUCUGCUAAGGGCUUUCAUGCCGUGUCAUCCCAUGAGGAAAGACAGAGGGAUCCUGUUCUCUGCAAAUGCAAACAGUUCUUUUAUUACAAGGCUUUUUCAAGGGGAAGAGAAAACUCAUUUGGCAGAUAAGGUUAACCUUUUAAAAAAUCAAGUGUGUUAAGAAGGAGAGUCAGAUCCAGAGAAAAGUGACACAUCUAGAUACAAAUUCUAGGAUCUUCCCGCCUUUCAGUAUCAUCACUGCUUUUCCACUUUGACACUAUAUGAACUUCUAGGUUUCAUAUGAAACAUUCUGUAUUAUUUUCAGAAAU
rnacentral:lncRNA from 1 species